CACAAGCGGAGGAGCAUGUGGUUUAAUUUCGAUGAUACGCGAGGAACCUUACCUGGGCUUAAAUGCUUAAUGACGGUACUGGGAAACUGGUAUUUCUUCGGACAUUUUGCAAGGUGCUGCAUGGUUGUCGUCAGCUCGUGCCGUGAGGUGUCGGGUUAAGUCCCAUAACGAGCGCAACCCCUAUUGUUAGUUGCCAUCAGGUCAUGCUGGGGACUCUAACAAAACUGCCCGCGUAAGCGUGGAGGAAGGUGGGGAUGACGUCAAAUCAGCACGGCCCUUACGUCCAGGGCUACACACGUGCUACAAUGGCCGGUACAGAGGGCAGCCACUUGGUGACAAGGAGCAAAUCUCAAAAGCCGGUCUCAGUUCGGAUCGGAGUCUGCAACUCGACUCCGUGAAGUUGGAUUCGCUAGUAAUCGUAGAUCAGCAAUGCUACGGUGAAUACGUUCCCGGGCCUU
rnacentral:rRNA from 1 species